UGUGUUGUGUUUAUUCAGCAGCACGCUAAAUCACACCCGGGCACAAGUGGAGCAUUCAUCAGGAACCACGAGCCCCUCUUUCAGUCUGCCAAACCUAUCCAAUUACUGGGGCUGGAAGAGCCUGCACAAACCCUUCUGCCAGGCCUUGCAAAAUUCUAAAGAACAAAGUCCAACCAUCCAAGCAAUAUUUUAAAGAAUGAGAUCUGUGUUAACACUUAAAGACAUUUUCCACGUUGACCUCAUGAACCCCAAAAGAAGGAUGAAAGAAGUCUGGAAUUAAUGAAUUUAGGGAACCUGUAAAACUCCAAAAAUGUUUAAUGCAAAAAUGUGAUAUUUUUGGUAGGAAAUUUCCAUUGCUUUCAACAGAUUUGGGAAGGGACCCAAAAGAUGACUAAAAGCAUCUGCAUUUUAACCAAA
ensembl:lncRNA novel transcript